rnacentral:misc_RNA from 1 species
UAGUUAUGUAUUGGACAUAUUUAUUAAUAAUCGCCAAAGCAGGUGAAUGUGGUGAUGAAGGACAAGAAGGAUCUCGAAAUCGUGCUCCAAAAAGAACCCAACAACCAUCUACUUUAGGAAGAACUAUUAAUUAUACUUCUGGAACGUCUUAUCCACUCCAAACAUUUCAAACUGAACAAGUACGACAAACUCAAUCGUCUAUUUUAGGAAGAAAUAAUAGUUAUAGUUCUGGUCCACCUUAUCCACUUCGACCUUUACACCCGGAACCACUGCAACAAACUCAAACAUCUUCAUCAGGAAGAGCACCCUAUCCAAUUGUACCUUUACACCCAAUGGCAAGUAAUGAUAAUAAUAAUAGUUCUGCCAUUGGGUGUGUUAUUCCAUCUGCCUCAGGAUCUCAAGUACCGCCUGGAUCAUUACAAACACCUCCGCCAUCAUACGAAGCAGCUACAUCAGAUCGUUUUUAAUAAACCACCUUAUAAAUAAUCUUUAAGUUAUUGUUAGUUUUUAUAAGUAAUGUUAACUUUAUGGUUAAUAAGAAUUUACAAUUUUA